AUGUUUCAGAAAAUGAACUUAGUUUCUGUUUGCCUUCCUUGUGCCUACUUCCAACUUUCUCAGAGGCGCUUUGCUCUUCAAACAUUUUUUAGUCCCUCGUGUGUUUGUCUACUCUUCUGUGAAAGGAGUCAGGUUUGCCCAGGAACUUCACUGAGUAAAGUUUUCUACCAUGUCAUAUUGCCCUUCAUGAGACGGGGUUGGCAAAAGAAACAACAGGUAGUUAAUGGAAGGAGUACAAAGCUGUGCUCUGCUGGCUCAGGGAGAAGGGAAAAUAGAAUUUAUCUGGGGCUUUCCUGAGCCAGAAGCCAUGGUCUACAGACUUUACAGAGGUGAGCAAUGCUCAGAGGCAGGAUUUUUAUAUCUUUAUUUUGACUCUUUGUUUCUUUUCUCUAAAGAAAGCAAACACAAGCUAUUUGAAAUAAUGAAACUCACUUCAAUAUAAUAUGUGAUAAGCCAGGUUGUGAAUCUCACACGUACUAACCAUUUUAAAAAUUCAUCAUGAAUUCUUGGAUGACUGGAUAAUCUCUAAAUUCAAUAUGCUGUUAUUGCAGGCAAGUUAUUUGACCUCCAUGUGACUAGAUUUCUUCAUCUGCAAAGCCAAGAUUACAGUCCUAGUAGUACAUACUCGGGAUAUGACAGUUCCCUUUCCCCACCUCCACCCUUGAUUUUGUCACUCUUUUCAAUUGGGAGAGGAUGACUGAGAGGCCAUAAUGCUAUUAUUCAAAGAAUUGCACUUAAAAUGUUUAAUAUCCUUUGAUAUUAUGUGUUAAAUAAAAAUUUACCUGCUUACA
rnacentral:lncRNA from 12 species